UAGUGAAGAGGCUGUAUAAACUGGAAAAGGAAAUAUUUAAAAAAAAAAAGAUAAAAAUAAAAUAUGGUGAAAGAAGCAACGGAAUACGACUGGCACGAAUGCCGCAGGCAGACUGAAUGCGAACGCAUCGAAGAGGACCACAAAUAUAAAUGGUCGAAACAUCUUUCAUAAAAGUGUUUGGAGAGACAACAAGGGGGAUUGUAGAAUGCGUAGUACAAAUAAAAAAUAUUAUCGUGCUAAUGACUUAUGGUAAACGUUGGAGGACGAUGAAUACUUCGGUGCUUUAACACGAUAGACAAAGAAAGAUUUGAUGAAUUGAAUUUCUCUUCUUCUUCAGAACACAGAAGAACAUAAGAAUUGUUACGAGAUGAAGCAUCAAGAAUCAUUGAUCGAAACAGAAGCCGAAUGGUGUCUUGUAUAAGUAUCCCUUAAAUUACAAAUUACAGUUAAAUAAUAGUGUCCCAUUUGUGCUAUUAACUUCGACUACAAUUAUUGGACAAUAAAUACAUGGUGCUCUGAAGGAGAUCACGCUAAAUUAUACGUUACACGUAAAACAGGCCUCAUUACAUAAACAUUACAUAUUCAUUUGAAUGUUAUAUUUAUUUAUAAUUAGAUGCUACGCGUUGUACUAAUUUAUAUGCUAUUCUAAAUACAUGUUUUCUAACCAUUGUAAUUUCCCAUGUACCACACACGUAAACUGUAACGAAUAAUACUAAUUCUCUUUAGUUCUCAUUUCUCAUUGCCAGAACAUUAUCGUGUCACAGCCAAUUGGGAUUCUAAGUGGCAUACUGUUAUGCAUGAAGAUCAUUUCCACUGUGUAUCUCGAGGAAAGUUAGUUAUUUUUAUUCGGAUGCAUUUUAAAGAAAGUAUUUAGGCCAAUGUCGCGCAAAGACGUCAACCCUGAUGUUCUAUUUUUAUGGGAAACCCUGGAACGAAUUGUCAUGCGAUCUGGCAAACGGAAUUCCCAUGAGAUUCGAUGUAAAAGUUCCGUUUCACUAACCCGACUGCGGUAAAUUUAUUAAUAUCGAAUCGAUGCGUGAACUAACGGCUAAAUCGAUGUUUCUGAAAUUUCAUUUCCUCGGAGGUCUCGUGAAAAAGCAGAAUUUUUAACGGAGAAAUCAACUUCCAUGUGUAUUUGUAACUAUUGUUACGAAAAUAAAUUUUUAUCGUUCACGGUCAUCCGACGUUGACCUGCCAUCCCAUUUUGUGGUGCCAGUUUUGCAUAUUUUUUUUGGUUUGCAUUUACAUUUUUCACGUUCCACGUCGAUGGAUGAUGUUUUAUCAUGGUUUAUCCGAGUCGAGCAUUCCUUGGAAUGUAAAAAACCCUGUGCACUUUUGUUCAUAAUCAACGAGCCCAAUUAGCGAGAGGUGCUCGAACCGGAAGUGAGAAGUAGCCAUCAUUGAUCGAUAGCUUUCCGAAUACUGCGCAGAUUUUUGCGUUACAUAAAUUCAUCUUGUCCUUUUACAUUUUCAUAUUCAACUUUUCACAUCAAAUAACUAUAUUUUUAUUUAUACUUUAC